AGCUGAUGAUGUGUACAAUCCUGAAGAAUAGCUUUAAAAUGCUCCCAAGCAUGAUAUAAAUUCUCAUCUCGCUUUUGUUUGAAGCACACAAUCUCACUUCAAAGUU
rfam:Capsicum annuum cultivar Zunla-1 chromosome 6, whole genome shotgun sequence